GAAGGAAGAUCAGGGAGGUAGGAGGGUGGUGAGCCGGGGGUUGGGUGUACUGUUGUUAAGUGAGGAGGGAGGCCAUGGUGUGGAGUAUGGACUUUAUUCCAUGUGCAUCAGAAAGCCACUGAAGGUUUUAAGCAGGAGUGACAAGCUGUGGCUUGGGUUGUAAGAUCUUUCUGGGUACUGUGUGGAGAAUACAAGGGAGCUGGUGGAGAGUGAGAAGCUGGGAGACCAGUUUAGGAAGCCAUCGCAGUGGUGAGCCAUUAUUGUGGGUGAUUGAGACUCAUCCGUAUGAACUAUUCACCUUCGUACCUCCCGUUUACAACUCAGCAUUGCUGGAAGAGCUGAACAGCCGCAUGGAUCAUUUUUCAAUUAUAGAAAAACAAAUUCUAAGCCUGAGAGAAAAAGUGCAUGAGAAAGAAAGGGAGGAAUAUAGCUGCUAGCAGACAAGACAUAUACUUCCCAGCUCCACCACUGUGACUCUUUUAAUUCAAAGAGAUUUUUCAAUUUUCCAGUGAGAUUCUGGCCUCAAUUCCUGUCCUAGGCUCAGAAAAAGCACAAUAGUUUCUUUAUACAUCUUUUCUUUUAAAAAGCUCCCUGGAAAAUAUUGUAAAUAUGCUACUAUAUUGAGGUUUGAUAAUAAAGGGAAAAAUUUUGCUCUUUA
rnacentral:lncRNA from 10 species